rnacentral:tRNA from 1 species
GGUAAAAUGGCUGAUUGUUUAGGCGGUGGAUUGUAGCCCCAUGCAGAGAGGUUUAAUUCCUCUUUUUACCA